rnacentral:misc_RNA from 1 species
AGUUGGGGGCCCUGUGAUCCA